rnacentral:rRNA from 1 species
CGCGUAGGUGGUAGUGCAAGUCUGAGGUGGAAUCUUAGGGCUUAACCCUAAAAUUGCCUUGGAAACUGCAUUACUUGAGUCAGUGAGGGGAGGGUAGAAUUCCUGGUGUAGCGGUGAAAUGCGUAGAUAUCAGGAGGAAGGCCGGUGGCGAAGGCGGCCCUCUGGCGCUGAACUGACACUGAGGCGCGAAAGCGUGGGUAGCAAACAGGAUUAGAUACCCUGGUAGUCCACGCCCUAAACGGUGGGCACUAGGUGUAGGGCUCGUAAGGGUUCUGUGCCGAAGCGAAAGCAUUAAGUGCCCCGCCUGGGGAGUACGGCCGCGAGGUUGAA